ensembl:lncRNA
AUUUAAAAUUAUAUUUGUAUAAUUUUUUUUAUUGGAUAUUGUUAGUGACUGUGUGCGAAUAAUGCUGGGAAAAGUCAGAUGUCUGGCUGUAACAUUUUGAAAGGGGAUGGUGACUUCCUAUACCCACUGUACAGUACAUGUCUACAUACGACAGUAAGUUCUCUGUUGAAUUGGCAUAUUGGUUCCAUCCAGUGGUAAACUGCAUCAAAACAACCUUUUCCAGUGAUUGUUGCUUUGAAAAUGUGUGCUGUGGAGCAGCCAGAAUGGCCUUUUGCAAUUAUUGAACACACUUUGGAAUGGUUUCAAGAAAAGGGUUCUAAACACGUUAAGUAAAUACCUUUUAUUAAGAAUUAGAACUAUGAUGUCAUUUUUAUUUAAAAUAUUUCUUCACAUAAGAUGCCAGAUUAAUUGCCAUUUUGAACAAAAAAAUACCCUCACCAUCUUUUGAGAAAGCCCAUCAGACAGAUCUACAUGUAUUGGAUUUGAUUCAACCAGUGUGUAGUUACCCUCAUGAGACAAAAUAGGUGUGGUCAACAUUUAAUUUCUUUGACACCACCACUUCUCAAUCAUUGUCAUGGCUGUAUUAAGACUCAUAUGGCUGGUGAUUUGUGAGUAUUUUCUUCUUUUCAAUUUAUACCUAUGUUAAAGAGAAAUACAUUUUCAUUUCAUCCAAGCAAAAUAUUUAACGAGAAAGGGUAAUGUUUUUUUAUGCAGGUGCAGUAUCCAUCCUUUUCAGAUCUGAAGCCACAAAAUGUGAAGAUGCAAAGAUCUACCCCGGAAAGCUCUUCGGACCGUCUAAUGUGGCUGUAGGAGGAAAUGUAACCUUGAAGUGUUCUACUGCUGGCAACUACAGCUGUGAAAUGGUUAAUGUUUACCUUUGUAAGAAUGGACUUGGGAUAGAAAUGUCUGCAGCACUGCAGAAAGGCGUAAAGGACUUUGUUUUCAAAAUCAACAAAGUUCAAAAACAAGACUCAGGCAACUACAGCUGUGUGUACAGCCAAAGUAAAAUCCAUCCCAGUCAAGUGAAUUCAACAGGAGAUAAUCUCGUCCUCCGGGUGUUUGGAGAUGAAGGUGGUGAAGCAUCAAGUAAAACACCAGUGUCUACACCACCAGAGAAUGAGGGAGCAGGAGGAAUUCUAGGAGUUAAGAUUGCAGUAGCCGUGAUCCUCCUAAUUUUGUCCCUUUCUAUCCUGGUUUUAAUGUGGAGGUACUCAGGGAUGCUCAACCAAUUGAUACGCGGUAACCGUAGACCAAGUGAGAUUCUGGAUACAGAUCACAUCUACAAUGUAAUAAAUGUUGUACCAGGUACCUAUAUAUACUCAUAA